rnacentral:lncRNA from 1 species
GAUAUAUCUCUGCACACAGUGAUGCCAAACAAAGAAGAGAACAUUGUUCAUGCAGGUUUCAUGAGCUGCACAGUGAUCCAGAAGAAACAUCUUCAUCCGGCGGGAGCUGAAGAGACUGACAGAUGGAGGGGAAAAGAUGGUCCAGGAGGAAGCGGGAGCGAGGCAGAGAUGUGGACAAGCAUGCUGAUGCUGAUCUCCACAUUCUAGCAGUUGUCAUGGCGACAGCACUGCCUCCUUGGCCUGGCUGCUCUUCGUCAUGUUUGUAAAACAGAGAGUGAAAGAUUCUGACCACUAAUUAAGC